rnacentral:misc_RNA from 1 species
AGGUAAAUCUACUACAUGCCUUGUCUCCUCCAAAUGGCUCAUUGAUUCUAGCGCUAAAGACCACAUGACAAGCAAUUCUAGCCUUUUGUCUAACUUUCAACCUCAUCAUCCUCUGUAGUUUUGGCCGAUGGGUCCAAGUCUUAUGUUAUUAGUUCUGGCAUUGCAAAUCUCACACCAUUCAAUUCUGUGUCAUCUAUUUUGUGUCUACACAAAUUCGCAUUUAAUUUUCUCUCUUUUGGGACAUCCGUCUUUAUUUGUUUUGAAGAAGUUAUGUCAACAAUUUCAUUCUUUAUCAGUUUUAGAUUGUGAGCCAUGUCAGUUUGACAAACAUCAUCGUUUGCCUAAAGUAUCUCGAGUCAAUAAAUGGGCUUCGUCCAUUUUUGAGUUAGUU